AGAAAAGAAAACUCUUACCGGCUGACGUGUUGGAGGAAAUCGAUUCAGCUCCUUCAAAGAAGCAGAAACAGUCUGAGGAUGAAGCUGAAGAGGACGACGAAGAGGACGAGACGAGGACGAAGAAAAGGAAGAGCAGCGGAAAACUGGCACGAGUCCGAAAUCUGAAGGGGAACUACACGGUGCGGACGGUGAAGGAGCGAGCGGCUGCGUCCUUCCAGCAGCAGGCGGCUCAAGAUUUCCUCCAGUCCAGACUGUACGGACCCGGAGGCCGCAGGACCACGAGUAAGAGAGCGCCGUCAAACGC